GAGACAGGAGACAGAUACUCAGGUAAACACAGAUUGGCAGCCAUAUCUAAAACAAGCAAAAAGAUCCCAGCUAAGGAUUUAAGUUCCAGAAAACAUGUAGCUACGAUCUUCUCCCGAAGUGAAAGAGGAUCUGGCUUUAGGAGGUUAUCUCUUUGUAGACCAGAGGGCAACCCACUGUCCCCUGAACCUACUGUAAAACCCUCAGAGCCCACAGACAAAAGCAGCGUGAGGACCGUGGACAAAUCUGAGAGCCUUCUCCAGGCGGCCACAGUAUCCAGCCCUGGACCUCCUGGUCAGUCCCGCAGUCAAAAGUCUGCUAACAUUUUGCAACCGCAUCUGAAUGGGUCACACGGUGUCUUAGAAACACCCCCAAAGAGCGAGGACUCUAAAGCACAGAUUGCAGGAGAAUUGGUAGCCCCAGCCAGCCCCUCGGGGAAAAGCUCUGGCCUUCAGCAGAGGUUAAGUCCUCCUUCCCCCCUAGAGGCUACACAGAAACCUACAGUGAGCUCCCACUGUCAGCUGUUGCGGCACACGAGUGCCCCAUCCCCAGACUCAGAACCCGAGCCACACCUCUACAGGUCAAAGAGUUUAAGAAACUUCAACGUGCAAAGGGACCUGUUGUGUACAAGCCCUCCUCCCAAAGCCAGGGGACGCCACUUCUCUGAAAACACUUCCAUUGACAAUGCCCUGAGCCAACUGUCCCUCGAAGAUGGCUCCUUCCCCAACAGCGGGUACAGUCGAAGAU
rnacentral:lncRNA from 1 species